AACGAACGCUGGCGGCAGGCUUAACACAUGCAAGUCGAGCGCCCCGCAAGGGGAGCGGCAGACGGGUGAGUAACGCGUGGGAAUCUACCCAUCUCUACGGAAUAACGCGUGGCAACGUGUGCUAAUACCGUAUACGUCCUUCGGGAGAAAGAUUUAUCGGAGAUGGAUGAGCCCGCGUUGCGUUCGCUAGUUGGUGGGGUAAAGGCCUACCAAGGCGACGAUCCAUAGCUGGUCUGAGAGGAUGAUCAGCCACACUGGGACUGAAACACGGCCCAGACUCCUACGGUAGGCAGCCGUGGGGAAUAUUGGACAAUGGGCGCAAGCCUGGUCCAGCCAUGCCGCGUGAGUGAUGAAGGCCCUAGGGUUGUAAAGCUCUUUCACCGGUGAAGAUAAUGACGGUAACCGGAGAAGAAGCCACGGCUAACUACGUGCCAGCAGCCGCCGUAAAAC
rnacentral:rRNA from 1 species